CGUACGGCGGGUUGCGUGCUGCCCCUCGUCCGUUCACCACGCGCGAUCUUCUCGGCCCGACCUGUCUGCUGCGAUCUUCGCUCGGUAGAAGCAGUGGAUCUACAAUCUCGAAAUCUGUGGAGGGAUGAAUGUGGUUUUUAUCGAGCUUUCAUUCUGACUCGACGGUUUUGUAACUCGACCAUCCUGUUCGACAGGGAAAUUCCAAUUAACCCCACCACACCGUUCGAUUUUACUCCGAGUGCCACACUUUUUUCAGAAUAGUCAAAAACAUUUUAUGUUUUGAACAUUUGUUGGACAUUCCUCGCCUCAGUCUAAAUUUCUCGAUUGAUUUUACCCAUCCAAAUAGUUACGUAUCACUUUGAACACUAUCUUAUCAAAAACGUAACGUACCUGUUAUAAAUAUUGUAUUUUUUAUCGAAGAAUGUUGUAGUUUUUGGCUUAUUGUGACACAAACUUGGAGUAGGAAUUUUUCCGGCCGAAAUGUUUUCUUAGGAAGUGAUCGAUCGAGGAAAAUAUGAUUUAUGAAAUGAAGACGGGGAGCUCUUUUCCUUUUUAUGAUUUUAUUAAAGUGUUCGGUGGUGUUGAGUUCUUUCGAGAAACUUUUCAUUCUGGCUCCCAAAACAUUGUUCGUGAAGGUUUCUGUCCCUGAAUUGGACAAAACUCGGCAUCUACUUACCCUGACGCCUUUUUAACUAUUGACUCUUUUCUGCACACGUUUGUGCGUUUUGCCAAAUUUUUAUCAAGGUGUGCGUAUCAUUAAACGUUUCAAGAGACUCGCUGUGUACCGCAAAACUUAACAUUUUGUUUGUUGCGAUAAUUUUUUAUGAAUUGGAUUUUCUUUUCGUCUCGUUAUAAAUUACGCUAGUGUUAUUCGUUAUGAUAAUGAACAUUCUUGUAAUCAUUUUCACCAUCUUUGGAUGUUGAUUUGAAAUUUUUAAACAAUCGCUUGAUUUUAAUUUUAUAAAAAAGUGUCAGUGUGUGGUAUGAACCUUGUUUUGGAUAAAAUUUCUUUUCUUUGGGACGGCACAUUGGAACUUUGCAGUUGACUGUCUUCCGACAAUAUCAGACACAUACGCUGAAAGCGCCGCAUAAAGGAUAUCAAGAUGCCUUUAUGAUGAGCCUGAUUUAAGAGAUAACGUCUAGAAAAUGGUUCCCAUGGAGGAAAAUGAAGUCUAGACCGCCUGCAAACAUAUCAAGUUGUAUUUAACAAGAAGAUGUCAAUAAUCCGUCACAUGCUAUUCAGGCCACCCAGGUGAACUCUGAGGUGACUCUAUCAUCAG